rnacentral:lncRNA from 1 species
GAUUGUAGACAAAAUCAAUACACCUAGGAUAAUAGCAUCUAGGAAUCGUUGACUAAGAAGGUUAAAAUAGUUUAUGCUUAUCUAUAUUGAUUUCUUUAAAAGUUAGCAAAGUGAUAGUGAGAAUCUUUUGUACCAUGCUAAGAUAAUCAAAUAGUAGACAUCAUAGCCAAUUGAGAGUAGACCUUAAAUAAAUUACUUUUUCUCUUAACUAAUUAUGGAA